UGUCCUGUACGGGACAAGCGUGCCGCCCGCCCGGGGAGGGGAGGCAGCCGCAGCCCCGCCGCUCCGAGGAGCCCAGCCCGGUCGUCUCGUCGCCUGCCCAAAGGUGCCACGGCCCAAAGGGUGACAGCAAGGACGGUGCGCAGGGCUCCGGCCUGUGUCUCUCCAGGGAAAGGACUUUCCAGAUAAACAAAUCAAGAAAAAAUAACUGGCUUAAUUUCCCUCCACCCAGCAGCAGCUCUUCAUAGCUGUACACAGGGACCAUGGAGCAGCAAGAAGGGUUGUGUGGGACAGAGGCUGCCUGGGUGCUCCCACUGGCAGAUGAGAAGACUGUUGGUAGCACACUGUUUCAGUUGUUGCUGAGCAGUGCUUGCACUAAGUUGAGGACUUUUCAUCUCUUCUCCCCCCACCCCACCAACGAGGCU